rnacentral:lncRNA from 1 species
UUGGAUCUGAUUUGCGUGAAUCAAUUAUUAUUGUUACUAGGGUUUGAGAUAUUAGGCAACACACACACUUUUCAUUUUUUCUCUGGACGGCAGUCUCCUUUAUCCUUCGUGUUCUCUCUGUAAUUUGUAGAUUUUCUCUUGUGAUCUGUUUGUAGAUCUUUGAGUGAGAGUUAAUUUUGAACUCUUGUGUGAGUUCGUUUAUGUACUGAGAGAUUUGUGGUGCUGUGAUUGGAACUUUGUGUUCCGGUGUGUUCUUGACACUUUUGCUGUAUUUGGCCGUUUGAUUUAGUGGAUUCAAGCUUAUUCCCUUGUGGAUGCUCAACGGGGACUAGGCGAUCUAACCAAUCGCUGAACCUCG